GCGAGUGUGGCGGAAUUGGUAGACGCGCUGGUUUUAGGUACCAGUAUCUUACGGUGUGGGAGUUCGAGUCUCCCCACUCGCACCA
rnacentral:tRNA from 10 species